AGGGAGGAGGAGAGGUUUAGAUAGGUUUGGUCUGAUCAUAGUAAUUGAUGACUUUCAAUCUAUUUAGAGUAUACACACUAAAAUAGGGCUGUUGACCACCACAGUCACGAGUCAAAUUCCACGUGACUGUUGAGUCAUGGUAACUAGGUAUCUCCAAAACUGUAUGGUACUCAGGGCUCUAUUGUCCCUCCAUCAGGUCCUAAUGGUCUGGUACUCAGGGCUCUAUUGUCCCUCCAUCAGGUCACUAAUGGCCUGGUACUCAGGGCUCUAUUGUCCCUCCAUCAGGUCACUAAUGGCCUGGUACUCAGGGCUCUAUUGUCCCUCCAUCAGGUCCUAAUGGCCUGGUACUCAGGGCUCUAUUGUCCCUCCAUCAGGUCCUAAUGGCCUGGUACUCAGGGCUCUAUUGUCCCUCCAUCAGGUCCUAAUGGCCUGGUACUCAGGGCUCUAUUGUCCCUCCAUCAGGUCACUAAUGGCCUGGUACUCAGGGCUCUAUUGUCCCUCCAUCAGGUCACUAAUGGCCUGGUACUCAGGGCUCUAUUGUCCCUCCAUCAGGUCACUAAUGGCCUGGUACUCAGGGCUCUAUUGUCCCUCCAUCAGGUCACUAAUGGCCUGGUACUCAGGGCUCUAUUGUCCCUCCAUCAGGUCACUAAUGGCCUGGUACUCAGGGCUCUAUU